GACCUUUCCAGGGGAGUUGCUGUCUUGAAAUCAGCUUGGGGGUGUUCGAGUCAUCCGUGGGUUUA
rnacentral:tRNA from 1 species